rnacentral:rRNA from 1 species
GACGAACGCUGGCGGCGUGCCUAAUACAUGCAAGUAGAACGCUGAAGAGAGGAGCUUGCUCUUCUUGGAUGAGUUGCGAACGGGUGAGUAACGCGUAGGUAACCUGCCUUGUAGCGGGGGAUAACUAUUGGAAACGAUAGCUAAUACCGCAUAACAAUGGAUGACACAUGUCAUUUAUUUGAAAGGGGCAAUUGCUCCACUACAAGAUGGACCUGCGUUGUAUUAGCUAGUAGGUGAGGUAAUGGCUCACCUAGGCGACGAUACAUAGCCGACCUGAGAGGGUGAUCGGCCACACUGGGACUGGGACACGGCCCAGACUCCUACGGGAGGCAGCAGUAGGGAAUCUUCGGCAAUGGGGGCAACCCUGACCGAGCAACGCCGCGUGAGGGAAGAAGGUUUUCGGAUCGGAAAGCUCUGUUGUAAGUCAAGAACGGGUGUGAGAGUGGAAAGUUCACACUGUGACGGUAGCUUACCAGAAAGGGACGGCUAACUACGUG